GACGGCCUUUAUGGGUUGUAAACCUCUUUUAGUAGGGAAGAAGCGAAAGUGACGGUACCUGCAGAAAAAGCACCGGCUAACUACGUGCCAGCAGCCGCGGUAAUACGUAGGGUGCAAGCGUUGUCCGGAAUUAUUGGGCGUAAAGAGCUCGUAGGCGGUUUGUCGCGUCUGCUGUGAAAACUGGAGGCUCAACCUCCAGCCUGCAGUGGGUACGGGCAGACUAGAGUGCGGUAGGGGAGAAUGGAAAUCCUGGUGUAGCGGUGGAAUGCGCAGAUAUCAGGAGGAACACCGAUGGCGAAGGCAGAACUCUGGGCCGUAACUGACGCUGAGGAGCGAAAGCAUGGGGAGCGAACAGGAAUAGAUACCCUGGUAGUCCAUGCCGUAAACGUUGGGAACUAGAUGUGGGGGCCAAUCCACGGUCUCCGUGUCGCAGCUAACGCAUUAAGUUCCCCGCCUGGGGAGUACGGCCGCAAGGCGAUAACACAAAAGAAUUGACGGGGGCCCGCACAA
rnacentral:rRNA from 1 species